AAGUCGUAACAAGGUUUCCGUAGGUGAACCUGCGGAAGGAUCAUUAACACGUAUCCAACGUUAAAACAACCCUGUGAACCUUCAUCUUGCUCGCGUGGCUCCAUAAAAAAGCAGCAAUCCCUACCCGGUCGUCGGCCGUGUCGGCCUCCAACGAUCGUGUUUGCGCCACCCUUACACAAUCAAAGACGCUUUCAGAACUCUGAUUGCUUGGGGGUGCCAGGUCGCUUGCGUCGCUACGAGCGUAACUCUCAUCGGCAGAGGUCCCUGACUCAAAAUCUGGUCGACAAUGAUUUACCAUCCCUGGGUCACCAUGCCCCUUAAUCACCACACUGUAACGCCGACAGGUCGCGAUAAUUCCGCUGACCACAAAAAACCGAACAACUGUUAACAAUGGAUAUCUUGGUUCUC
rnacentral:misc_RNA from 1 species